rnacentral:rRNA from 1 species
GACGAACGCUGGCGGCGUGCUUAACACAUGCAAGUCGAACGAUGAAGCUAGAGCUUGCUCUGGUGGAUUAGUGGCGAACGGGUGAGUAACACGUGAGUAACCUGCCCCGAACUCUGGGAUAACUGCUGGAAACGGCGGCUAAUACCGGAUAUGACCAAUGAAGGCAUCUUCUGUUGGUGGAAAGAAUUUCGGUUCGGGAUGGACUCGCGGCCUAUCAGCUUGUUGGUGAGGUAACGGCUCACCAAGGCGACGACGGGUAGCCGGCCUGAGAGGGUGAUCGGCCACACUGGGACUGAGACACGGCCCAGACUCCUACGGGAGGCAGCAGUGGGGAAUAUUGCACAAUGGGCGCAAGCCUGGUGCAGCAACGCCGCGUGAGGGACGACGGCCUUCGGGUUGUAAACCUCUUUUAGUAGGGAAGAAGCGAAAGUGACGGUACCUGCAGAAAAAGCACCGGCUAACUACGUGCCAGCCGCCGCCGUAA